rfam:Mycobacterium sp. 1274761.0 strain 1274761 contig_95, whole genome shotgun sequence.
UCAGAAGCCCAUUCCCGGCUCCCCGGACGAGGUGCGUCGUACCCGGCCUGCGACAAGACGGCGCUCG